GACUUAGAAACCUAUCCAAUGAGGCCACUAGUUACUACAAAUGUGGAUGUGCAUUCUGAACAAUUGACGUACUAAUAAUAAACAAAGUAUAUGCGUGAAAAAAAACCUAGUAGAACCUCAUUAGUGUUGAACAUAUAAAAUAAAAACUACCGUAAGAUCUUUUGCUUCGGAAAUAGUUUGCUUAAACUUAUCUACCGAAUCUAUCAAUCAUUCAGAAAUAUUUUUCUCUCAUAACAAAUCAGCGAAUAAUACUUUUAGCUAUGAUUUUUUCGCCAAGCCAUA
rnacentral:lncRNA from 1 species